AGCAGCCGCGGUAAUUCCAGCUCCAAUAGCGUAUAUUAAAGUUGUUGCAGUUAAAAAGCUCGUAGUUGAAUUUCGAGACCGGCUUACUGGUCGUGCUAUUGUACGUACUGGUAUAAUCGGUUUCUCCUUUCUGACGAACUUUAAUGCCAUUAAUUUGGUGUUUUAGGGAAUCAGGACUGUUACUUUGAAAAAAUUAGAGUGUUUAAAGCAGGCUCACGCUUGAAUACAUUAGCAUGGAAUAACGGAAUAGGACGUUUGAUUCUAUUUUGUUGGUUUCUAGGAUCGACGUAAUGAUUAAUAGGGAUAGUUGGGGGCAUUAGUAUUCAAUUGUCAGAGGUGAAAUUCUUGGAUUUAUUGAAGACUAACUACUGCGAAAGCAUUUGCCAAGGGUGUUUUCAUUAAUCAAGAACGAAAGUUAGGGGAUCGAAGACGAUCAGAUACCGUCGUAGUCUUAACCAUAAACUAUGCCGACUAGGGAUCGGAUGAUGUUAAUUUUUAAUGACUCAUUCGGCGCCUUACG
rnacentral:rRNA from 1 species